CCCCGGUGAAAUGUCAAUAAGGAAUGAAGAAUAACACAGAGCUUCUGUAGUUUGUCUGGUGAUUCUAUAACUGAGUCUGAGGAAGGAUUGGGAGUGGAUUUUGUCUAAAAGAAAUUGAGGAAGACAGAGUCUCAGUUUGUGCACAGCUCCAGGGUCCAUGCAUAUUUUAGUCAUAUACUGAAGGCCUCACAAAAAAGAUAUUGGAGACGCAGGAAAAUAAUACAACAACUGAAAUCGAUGAUCGCAGAAGCUCGAGGCGAGAGUAGUGAUGCAGAGCUUUAAUCAGCAUGAGUUCCUGGGUGGAGAGAGAAAGACUGAACAAGAAGUGAAAGACACUGAUAUUGUAAACAUGA